CUGAACACACUUUUUAUGGAUAAAUUGUUCUCUAAGAAAAAGUCAACCAAAGAUGCUCCUGACAUUGGACAUUAUGAGCUUCUGCAUCUCAGCUUCUCGUCAUAUACCGAAUGGGACUGGAAGAUGGUCUAUCAGGUGGUAUCUAUACUCGUUCAUAAUCUUUUUUAGGAAAAUAUGUUUUUUGCACUGGCCUUCUCUUCAACAAAAUUUAUGAAGUAAUUUUUGUUUUCUUCAAUAUGAAUUUCUUUAGCUUAUAUUAUCCGAGAAGCUCAGAAGGAACUGAAGCAUAUUUUUGGUAUUUCAUUAAUUUAUAUCAGUGAUUGGAUAUAUACUGUUAUUAAUGCCUACCAUUUAGUGGCUUUAGCUGUAAUAAACAUUGAAGGUCCUUUAUAUUUUUAAGUUCUGUUAUGAUCUAUUGAAAAUCAAGAUAUAAAUGAGACUGAGUCCUAAUUUUGACAUCACCCCUACCCCUAUUGAUUAAUAUGUAAUUAUGUGGCCUUCUCUUAGGAAAAACUAGUUAUGCUAAAGAGAUACUUUUCAAAUGGUUUAAGAAAUGGAUGAAUGGAGGCAAGUAACCUAUCCAUACAAAGCACGUAGAUAGAUAGUUUCUGCAGAUGAAGCUGAGAAUUGUCGUGUUAGAAUAAGAUAAAAGAUAUUUUGCAAAAAUAAGAUUUCUUUUUCUCUUGCUUUUAAAGCUAUUUUUUCUUAUCCGGUGGUAAUCUUUAAUCGGGUGGAAGAUAAUGAAUGGUCUUAGCAGCUUUUCCUUUCCUUUCCUAGUUGCAUAGCAAAACAAUUGUUCAAGAGAUAUGUAAGCUGGAGAAUGUCAUUGAGGCAGCAGAGACUGCUGAUGACAACCAGAUAAAAACUAAACUUAUUAGUCUAUUAGGUGUGUCUAUUUAAAUUCAAAACUCAGACAUAGGAUCUGUUGUUACUUUUUAGUUUAUUUUAGCUUGUUUAUUUUUAUUUUAGUUUGUUUACUUUUUAUUUUAUUUUAUUUAGUUUUAUGUAGGUUAGUUUUUUUUUUGAAAGGAAAAUCAAGAAUUUUACUAAUCGGGCACGUUGUGUGACCACAAAACAGAGCAAAUUACAAGGUAAAACAUCUCAACAAAACGGGAAAGCAGUACAAUCCACCAGCUUAACAAAUGCUAAAAGCAUAAUAAAGGACUUGUACACCAACUUGCGAAAGAAAGAACUAGGACCAUGUCCCUGCCAUAUACUUCAUCCAGGUCCAAGAAAUACUCUGAAUAUGUUAAACUACACUCUGCACAUCAGGAAAGAAAUUAUCCUUGAAAAUUACAGAAUUUCGAUACAACCAUAAACACCAGCAUGUAGCAUGUCAUAAAAGAAAUCUGUGUUAGUACUGGUUUUUAUUUGGAUUUGAAAGACACUUUUAUUGUACCGUCAUUUAGACGGAAUUUGGUUUCAGUUUCUUAUUUGGACAAAUUGGGUUAUUUGUAUUCAUUUGGAAACAAUGUGUUCAUGUUGUCUUUUAAUUCAGAUAUUGUUGGAACCGGUUCACUCUUGGUUAAUGAUAAUCUAUAUUUACUUGAUA
rnacentral:lncRNA from 1 species